UAACAGAUUAUCUGGGUGUCCUCAAAACC
rnacentral:piRNA from 1 species